GAGAUGAGGGGCUCCCAAGACCAUACGGAAGGAGCUUACUUUAAAGCAAAACAACACUGAGCCGUGCAGAUGAGGAUUAAAGUCAGAGUCUUGCACAUGAAGGAAUCCACCACCAUCGUCAUCAUCCUCAUCAUCAUCGUCCUCCUCACUGUCAGAUGUUGAAACAGCAGCAGACACGUCACACUUCACAGGUGAUUGUGGUGUGCAACAGCUGGAGAGCAGCAAACAGAGGCGUUGAGCAUGCGGAAGAGACUGGAGGCGGCAGAUGAAGAGACCACAUGAUGAUAUGAGGAAGAUGAAGUCAAGGAGAGCUGUCAGCAACCACCACCACCACCACCACCUCCUCCCUAAACACUCGCGCGCGCACAGAAACAGUGGUGAGGUCAUGGCACGAUCGUCUCACAGGCUUCUGACACUG